rnacentral:rRNA from 1 species
AAUUGAGAGUUUGAUCCUGGCUCAGGACGAACGCUGGCGGCGUGCUUAACACAUGCAAGUCGAACGGAAAGGCCCUGCUUUUGUGGGGUGCUCGAGUGGCGAACGGGUGAGUAACACGUGAGUAACCUGCCCUUGACUUUGGGAUAACUUCAGGAAACUGGGGCUAAUACCGGAUAGGAGCUCCUGCUGCAUGGUGGGGGUUGGAAAGUUUCGGCGGUUGGGGAUGGACUCGCGGCUUAUCAGCUUGUUGGUGGGGUAGUGGCUUACCAAGGCUUUGACGGGUAGCCGGCCUGAGAGGGUGACCGGCCACAUUGGGACUGAGAUACGGCCCAGACUCCUACGGGAGGCAGCAGUGGGGAAUAUUGCACAAUGGGCGGAAGCCUGAUGCAGCAACGCCGCGUGCGGGAUGACGGCCUUCGGGUUGUAAACUCCUUUCGUUAGGGACGAAGCCGCACUUUUUUUGGGUGUGGUGACGGUACCUUUGUUAAGAAGCACCGGCUAACUACGUGCCAGCAGCCGCGGUAAUACGUAGGGCGCGAGCGUUGUCCGGAAUUAUUGGGCGUAAAGAGCUCGUAGGCGGCUGGUCGCGUCUGUCGUGAAAUCCUCUGGCUUAACUGGGGGCUUGCGGUGGGUACGGGCCGGCUUGAGUGCGGUAGGGGAGACUGGAACUCCUGGUGUAGCGGUGGAAUGCGCAGAUAUCAGGAGGAACACC